rnacentral:misc_RNA from 1 species
GGAAGGAUCAUUAUAGUAUAUGGAAUAACCAUCCUAUAAACCCACUCUGUGUAUCUGUUACUGUUGCUUCCAUGGGACCUGGACUUGUCCACGUCGGCCCUUAGGGGGCUGGUGAGCACCCAUGGAAGGAGAACUAAACUCUUCUUUAAUGUGAAGUUAGUCUGAACAUGAUUAUAUAAAAGUUAAAACUUUCAACAACGGAUCUCUUGGUUCUCGCAUCGAUGAAGAACGCAGCGAAAUGCGAUAAGUAGUGUGAAUUGCAGAAUUCAGUGAAUCAUCGAAUCUUUGAACGCACAUUGCGCCUUCUGGUAUUCCGGGAGGCAUGCCUGUUCGAGCGUCAUCAAAAACCUCAAUCUCUGAUUUUUUUUAAUCUCCGAUUGGUCUUGUGUUGGAGUCUAUAAAGCUCCUCUACGAAAUCCAAUGGCGAAGAGCCACGCAACCUAAGCGUAGUAAUAUUUUCUCGUGAUGGAAGCGUGUGCACUGCUGCCUUAACCCCCCCCACUCCAAUUUUAAGUUUUGACCUCGGAUCAGGCAGGGAUACCCGCUGAACUUAAGCAUAUCAAUAAGCGGAGGAAAAGAAACCAACAGGGAUUGCCUUAGUAACUGCGAGUGAAGCGGCAAAAGCUCAAAUUUGAAAUCUGGCGUUUUUGGCGUCCGAAUUGUAAUUUGGAGAGAUAACUUCGGGGUGGUCACUGGCCCAAGUUCCUUGGAACAGGACGUCACAGAGGGUGAGAAUCCCGUGUCUGGCCGGUUGCUCCAUCCCAUGUGAAGUUUCUUCGACGAGUCGAGUUGUUUGGGAAUGCAGCUCAAAAUGGGUGGUAAAUUUCAUCUAAAGCUAAAUAUUGGCGAGAGACCGAUAGCGCACAAGUAGAGUGAUCGAAAGAUGAAAGCACUUUGAAAAGAGAGUUAAAAAGUACGUGAAAUUGUUGAAAGGGAAGCGCUUGAGACCAGACUCAAUUGGUGGUGAUCAGCAGUCCUUUUGGGCUGUGCACUUGCCGCCUUUUGGGCCAGCAUCGGUUCUGACCGCGUGAUAAAGACCCAUGGAAUGUAGCUCCUCUCGGGGAGUGUUAUAGCCUUGGGUGUAAUGACGUGUGUUGGGACCGAGGACCGCGCUUCGGCUAGGAUGCUGGCAUAAUGGUCUUCAGCGACCCGUCUUGAAACACGGACCAAGGAGUCUAACAUCUAUGCGAGUGUUCGGGUGGAAAACCCUUGCGCGUAAUGAAAGUGAACGGAGGUGGGAACCCUUCGGGGUGCACCAUCGACCGAUCCUGAUGUCUUCGGAUGGAUUUGAGUAAGAGCAUAGCUGUUGGGACCCGAAAGAUGGUGAACUAUGCCUGAAUAGGGUGAAGCCAGAGGAAACUCUGGUGGAGGCUCGCAGCGGUUCUGACGUGCAAAUCGAUCGUCAAAUUUGGGUAUAGGGGCGAAAGACUAAUCGAACCAUCUAGUAGCUGGUUCCUGC